rnacentral:rRNA from 1 species
UACGUAGGUGGCAAGCGUUAUCCGGAUUUACUGGGUGUAAAGGGCGUGUAGGCGGGACUGCAAGUCAGAUGUGGAAACCACGGGCUCAACCUGUGGCCUGCAUUUGAAACUGUAGUUCUUGAGUACUGGAGAGGCAGACGGAAUUCCUAGUGUAGCGGUGAAAUGCGUAGAUAUUAGGAGGAGCACCAGUGGCGAAGGCGGUCUGCUGGACAGCAACUGACGCUGAGGCGCGAAAGCGUGGGGAGCAAACAGG